rnacentral:tRNA from 1 species
GAGGCUGUCGUCCAGCGGCAGGACCGGGCGCCGCCAUCACCCAGACACGGGUUCAAAUCCCGUCAGCCUCUCCA